rnacentral:rRNA from 1 species
GACGAACCGUGCGAACGUUGUUCGGAAUCACUGGGCUUAAAGGGCGCGUAGGCGGGCAGGCAAGUCAGGGGUGAAAGCCCGCGGCUCAACCGUGGAAGCGCCUUUGAUACUGCCGGUCUCGAGGGAGGUAGGGGCGUGCGGAACUUCCGGUGGAGCGGUGAAAUGCGUAGAUAUCGGAAGGAACACCGGUGGCGAAAGCGGCGCGCUGGACCUCUUCUGACGCUGAGGCGCGAAAGCCAGGGGAGCAAACGGG